rnacentral:rRNA from 1 species
UACUACGGUAGUGAAGUUGUUGAUGCCCUGCUUCCAGGAAAAGCUUCUAAACUUAUGAUUAUAUGAACCGUACCCCAAACCGACACAGGUGGUCAGGUAGAGAAUACUAAGGCGCUUGAGAGAACUCGGGUGAAGGAACUCGGCAAAAUUGUACCGUAACUUCGGGAGAAGGUACGCCCUUGUUUGUGAUAGGACUUGCUCCUUGAGCAGAUGAGGGCCGCAGUGACCAGGUGGCUGGGACUGUUUAUUAAAAACACAGCACUCUGCUAACUCGCAAGAGGACGUAUAGGGUGUGACACCUGCCCGGUGCCGGAAGGUUAAUUGAUGGGGUUAUCUUCGGAGAAGCUCUUGAUCGAAGCCCCGGUAAACGGCGGCCGUAACAAUAACGGUCCUAAGGUAGCG